UGAUUUUUGAACGUUGAAGAACAAUCGAUUAUUCAGAUUUAACAAUCGAUUGUGUAGCCUAAAAUCAGGGAUCUGUUUUUUGAACGUUGGUCAGACAAUCGAUAGUCACCUCCAAACAAUCGAUUGUUGAAGCACAGAAUCAGGGAUUUUAUUUGUCAUUUAAGCAACGGUCAGCACCACUUUUUCACCUAUAAAAAGAGGUCUUUUGAGCUGAUUUUAAACACACAACUCCUGCAUAUAUUGAUAUACAUAUUG
rnacentral:lncRNA from 1 species